AGCUCAAAGAAAACGUUUCGUUCUUUUCCAGCGCGGAGGCUUUUGCUGAUCCACUGCUGUGUGCUUUGUGUGCUGGUUCGAAAAAUGAAACGGCUAAUCCUUAUGCCAUUAGAAAGAUUAGGAAACAAUUGCAGAUAUGCUUUCAUUACUGCUUGCGUAUGAUGUCGGAGCACUUGUACUAGUUCGCACGUGCCGGUUCUGCUGUUGCUACUGUUGCUGGUACGUGCCUAAAUGCCGAAGGUCGUACCGCACGUAACGAUACUCGUCGGGGACCUUUUUCUUCUCGGGCGACAUGUUGCAGACCGAGUUGAAUACAAACACACAUACACACGCGCGCAGAAAGUGAAGGAAAAAGUACUUUCGGACACUCAACAGGUGUUUAGAAAACUCAGCGCAGGAUGUAACGAGAGUUUGUGCAACAUUUGUGCUUCUCGAGCGCUGCUGCUUACCCUUCAAAACGAUCUCACCUUCGGCAAAUGGGACGUCGGGCGGUGAGAAAGUCCCCAAAAAACAAAUGGCAUUGUAAUUGGUGUGGUUGCUGCGGUUGCGGCGUGAACGCGAACCCGUUACUGCUUGCAUCUCAUGGAGCCGCCUGGUGGCUGAUGGUUUGGUUGCGUGCGUCGGCAAGCGAAAAUUAGCUAAUCGAACAUGUUCGUGCACAAGCGAUCACGAUUGCAAGAAUAAGGGAGCCAACAACCUGAGCAAAAAACCUGCAGCUAACCUU